rnacentral:misc_RNA from 1 species
GAGAUCUUAGCUCGGGAUAGGCUGUUGGGAUCUUAUAAGGUGAAACCAGUCAUUAAAAUGCUGAAGCAAACGCUAGUUGGAACAGGGGCUUUGCUUGUUGCAGCAGUCUCAUUAUUCAUAUUUGCAACACCAGUAGAAGAUUUUUUCCGCAAUACUUUCACAACAAACGAGAACUCAUUGAGUUCCACCUCAACAAACAGCACAAAUAAACUAGGCAUCAGGAAAGAAGAACUGUUGCGCUUGCCACUGGAAGUCAAGGAGGACGAU